CGCAGCCACACACCCCUUGUGCGACCAGAGAAUUCCGGCGACCGGAUUCCUUCCGACGACUCAGGCUGCCGGCGACGAAACCCCACAACUCAACCCCCAUGACGUUUUUCCCCUCAUACCACUAUCUCCCUCUUUUUUUUUUUACAAUCCGGUAAUCACAAGAGGAGGAGCUGGUGGCGGCCGGUGGUCCAUUCUGUUGCCAGCGAGACACCCCCGGCCUCCGAUCUUCGUGAGUCCGUCAAUCCCAUCCCGAAUCUCCUUCUUGCACCGGUUACACAUACAUCAGACUUCGAAGAAGAGACCAGCGAUGGCGGCAGUCUGUGUUCGAGUUCGAAUAUAGAGCUCCGUGAUUCAGGUUCAGAACCGGGUUCCUGUUCGGGUUCUAUUCGGGCCAACCGCAGACAUGUUCGGAGCAGAUCUCUUCGGGCGUUUGGUCUCAGCUCGGUCCAGAUUAGAAGCAGGGACUGCUCGUGCGUUCCUUUCGUUCCUUCAACCCUCGGGUAUGGUUGACCAACGUAACACAAGUAAAUUUACUACCGAGCAAAGCAAAGGUUUAUAGGGUUAUAUCUUGGGGAACUUGCUGUCUGGAAGGCUGGAGUGGUCAUGAGUCGAGAAACAAAGAAUCUCCAUACAAGCUUAAUGGUUUAUGUACACACGGUUUACGAAAUACUUAACAAAUGAAUUAUGCUUCCGCUGUAUACAAUGAAUGACAUGUAACAUUUGUAAUACCUUAUGUUAAUGAAUGAAGUUUAUUUAAAUACACUUAUGAGUUCAAUGUGAUUGGUGGCUUGGAUCCUGGUACGUCACACGCCUCGCGGGGGUUUCCGCAUGUGGUAUUUUGGGGGUGUGACAGUAUGCUUGGUGAAUGAAGUGGAACGCAGGAAUAGCAAGGAAAUCUCACCGUGGAUCAUAUGAUCAAAUGGAAAGCUGGAACGUAAAGAGUUAAUGGAACGAAGAGUAAACGUGAAUAAAUUUGUGUGUUAUGAUGCGUGCUGUUAUGACUUUAUGUGGUGAGCGCAGGUAGUACGAAACACGAGGAUCAUCAAGGGAUAGAGAUCAAGGACCGAGUCACAUGAAGGAUUGUACGGGGUGUAUAAGAAUGUAAUUUGUUAUUUAUAAGUUAUGUUUUAUUCUAUAAUUGAGUUAGUUUGAUGUAUUCGAUAUAGAGGAGUUAUUGUGAAAGUGAACUUUCAAG